rnacentral:rRNA from 1 species
CCUACGGGAGGCAGCAGUGGGGAAUAUUGCACAAUGGGGGAAACCCUGAUGCAGCGACGCCGCGUGAGUGAAGAAGUAUUUCGGUACGUAAAGCUCUAUCAGCAGGGAAGAAAAUGACGGUACCUGACUAAGAAGCCCCGGCUAACUACGUGCCAGCAGCCGCGGUAAUACGUAGGGGGCAAGCGUUAUCCGGAUUUACUGGGUGUAAAGGGAGCGUAGACGGCAGCGCAGGUCUGGAGUGAAAUCCCAUGGCUUAACCAUGGAACUGCUUUGGAAACUGUGCAGCUAGAGUGCAGGAGAGGUAAGCGGAAUGCCUAGUGUAGCGGUGAAAUGCGUAGAUAUUAGGAGGAACACCAGUGGCGAAGGCGGCUUACUGGACUGUAACUGACGUUGAGGCUCGAAAGCGUGGGGAGCAAACAGGAUUAGAUACCCCGGUAGUC